ACUGCUCAGUAACACGUGGACAACCUGCCCUGAGGACUGGAAUAAUCCCGGGAAACUGGGAGUAAUUCCAGAUAUGCCAGGGAACCUGGAAUGGUUUCUGGCAGAAAUGCUCCGGCGCCUCAGGAUGGGUCUGCGGCCUAUCAGGGUAGUAGUGGGUGUAACGUACCCACUAGCCUACGACGGGUACGGGUUGUGAGAGCAAGAGCCCGGAGAUGGAUUCUGAGACAUGAAUCCAGGCCCUACGGGGUGCAGCAGGCGCGAAAACUUUACAAUGCGGGCAACCGCGAUAAGGGGACCUCGAGUGCUGGGUUACAAACCUGGCUGUUGGGCUGCCUAAAAAGCAGUCUAUAGCAAGGGCCGGGCAAGACCGGUGCCAGCCGCCGCGGUAACACCGGCGGCUCGAGUGGUAACCGCUGUUAUUGGGUCUAAAGGGUCUGUAGCCUGCCGGCUAAGUCUCUUGGGAAAUCUGGCAUCUCAAGUGUCAGGCUGCCAGGGGAUACUGGUCAGCUUGGGACCGGGAGAGGUGAGAGGUACCUCAGGGGUAGGGGUGAAAUCUUGUAAUCCUUGAGGGACCACCAGCGGCGAAGGCGUCUCACCAGAACGGAUCCGACGGCAAGGGACGAAAGCUAGGGGCACGAACCGGAUUAGAUACCCGGGUAGUCCUAGCCGUAAACGAUACUCGCUAGGUGUCGGCCACGGUGCGACCGUGGUCGGUGCCGUAGGGAAGCCGUGAAGCGAGCCACCUGGGAAGUACGGCCGCAAGGCUGAAACUUAAAGGAAUUGGCGGGGGAGCAC
rnacentral:rRNA from 1 species